CCUUCGAUAGCUCAGUUGGUAGAGCGGAGGACUGUAGGUGGGAUGAUGGCAAUUCUUAGGUCGCUGGUUCGACUCCGCCUCGAAGGA
rnacentral:tRNA from 1 species